GACAUGAUGACAUAUACCAUGAUGCUCUUGCUGCCCACCCCCAAGGCAGCAGGUGACAGCACUGGGUGGAGGCUAUAAUUAUAUUACAAACCCCAGCAGGGGAGGCAGCAGCGGGUCUGGUGCAUGGGUCGGGGUGGGCACCUGUACAAGGACGUGGUCUCUUUGAGAACCGCCAUGUUGCCCACCCAACUCCCUCACCCCCUCCCUACUGUAUGUAUUUCAAAACCAAUUAAGUUUUCUAACCCUAUCCUCUUCCUCAGUCAAUGGCCUCAGAUUUGCUAAACUUAAUUCUAACUUUUGAGGCAGGAGGAUCACUUGAGCCCAGGAGUUCAAAGUUGCAGUAAUCCAUGAUCAUGCCACCACACUCCUUCCUGGAUAACAGAGUCACCUCUCAAUCGGACGCCUUUUGAUGCCCCUUGCAGUGAAUGACUCCAGCUUCCUUUGGAAGUAAAGCGGCCAGAGCGGUAGCCUCAAUGAUAGAUGUGGAAGAUACUAUUGCAUAGCCUGCCUUUGCUGGUGAGUGGCGAUUAGGCCUGGUGGAACCGCCAUCAAUAAACCAAAUGUGAUCAGGGUGAGGAACAAAGGUAUUGAGAACGAAAGAGUGUACGGGUUGGGCACCACAGGAUGGAUGGCAAAACAAUUUGAUUGAUGAGGCGCAGAUCCUGAACUAAUCUGUAAGACUUGUCCGGUUUUUGGGCAGGGUAACGGUGAUUAGGUUUUACUAGGAUGGUGAUGGUCAUGUGAUUGGUUGCCAGGGAGGGGGUAGAGAUGUCCUAUACUUGUGGGUUAAGGUCGGGGCUGGGUUUUCAUCUUUACCUUGGGUAGUUUCUUUAAGCUUGUCAUAAUUAACAGCUUUGUAAGCGGAAAAUUAUAGUAAAGGGAGGGGGUUGUUCUCUGGCUGGCAGGAGUGGGGUGGGAGGAUAAUGAGAGGUAUAAAAGAACUCUAAAUCAAAGAAAAUGACCAAGGUGAGUCUCAAUCAUUUUAGAGGUUUAUUUGCCAAGGUUGAAGACGCACUCAGGUUUAUUUUGCCAAGGUCUGAUGGGCAAAUCAUGUGGAAGGUCCCCUAGGGAGGUUUGUGGCCUUUUAUCUUUGUAGCUAUCUACUUAGGAACAAAAGGAAGGCAGUCUUUGCAUGACUCAGGGUCUCCUUGUAACCCACCUCUGACAUAUACAUCCUAGCCUCUUCGUCCUGCUUCCCCAACGAGAGAGGGCCUGAAGGUUAAGUUGAUCACCAGUGGCCAAUGAUUUAAUUAAUCAGGCCUUCAUCUGUAACCUUUGUAAUAGCCUUUAUAAUAAACUGGGAAAUGUAAGUAAGCAUUUCCCUGGGGGGACUGAGCCCUCAGCCUGUGGGAUCUGACAUUAUCUGCUGGUAGAUGGUGUCAGAAUGGAAUGGAAGUUGAGGUCUGUGUUGGCUUUUGUGCUGUGAGAACAGAGGAAAAACGAUUUGUGUUUUUUCACUCACAGAGUCAGUAUUGGCUUCUCAAUGAGAUCCAUAAUGCCUAGUACAUAGAAAUAUCCAGUUGCACAUUGCCUCUCUAUCUUAUCAUGAGGGUGUUUCUCCUGCAUAUUUGUCUCCAUCUUCCUUAAUCUCCUUCUUUCUUUCAGUUAUUAAAAAAAUUCUGGGUGGGCGCAGUGGCUCGCACCUGUAAUCCCAGCACUUUGGAAGGCCGAGGCAGGCAGAUCACUUGAGGUCAGGAGUUCAAGACCAGCCUGGCCAACAUGGUGAAACCCUGUCUCUACUAAAAAUACAAAAAUUAGCCGGGCGUGGUGGCGGGCGCCUAUAGUCCCAGCUACUUGGGAGGCUGGAGCAGGAGAAUAGCUUGAACCCGGGAGGUGGAGGUUGCAAUGAGCUGAGAUCGAGCCAUUGUACCAGCCUGGGGGUCACAGUGAGACUC
rnacentral:lncRNA from 10 species